rnacentral:rRNA from 1 species
AUAAGAAAUCUAAGGGCGUACGGUGGAUGCCUAGACUGAAAGAAGCGAUGAAGGACGUGGCGUGUCUGCGAUAAGCUUCGGGGAGGUGACUAGCAACCUUUAAUCCGGAGAUUUCCGAAUGGGGAAACCCAGCCAGCUUCGCUGGUUGUCCUGAGAUUUAUUCGAAGGACGCGUACCCGCUGAAGUGAAACAUCUCAGUAAGCGGAGGAGAAGAGAACAAUGUAUAGUACUCACAUUGCAUUACAUAUAGUUUGCAAUGCGGUGUGAGUACUUGUAAUUCCCUAAGUAGCGGCGAGCGAAAAGGGAGAAGUCCAAACCAUGCACUUCGGUGUGUGGGGUUGUAAGGUAACAGUUUCGUCUUUAUGAUGAGAAGAGUCAAAAAAUAUUUUGUUAAUUGAAUUCGCUGGAAAGCGAAACCCCAGAGCGUUAAAGUCGCGUAAGUGAAAACGAAGUAUCUCUUUUAUUGUUAUUCUUGAGUAGCCCAAGACACGAAUAGCUUGGGUGAAUCUGCCGGGACUAACCGGCAAGGCUAAAUAUUCUUUCAGAUCGAUAGUGAACUAGUACCGUGAGGGAAAGGUGAAAAAUACCCCGGUGAGGGGAGUGAAAUAGAUCUGAAACCGUAUGCCUACAAGGAGUCGGAGCGGCGCUUGCGCCGUGACGGCGUGCCUAUUGAAGAAUGAGCCAACGAGUUCAUAUAUACUGCGUGGCUAACUGCGUAAAAUGCAGGAAGUCGUAGGGAAACCGAGUGUGAAUAGCGCGAAAUUUUGUAGUAUGUAUGAGACCCGAAGCCAGAUGAGCUUGCCAUGGACAGGGUGAACGCCGGCGAAAGCCAGCGGGAGGCCCGAACCGGUUGGUCGUACAAUUCCAUCGGAUGAUCUGUGGUAAGGAGUGAAAAGCUAAUCGAAUCUGGUAAUAGCUGGUUCUCUCCGAAAUAGCUUUAGGGUUAGCGUUCGGUGUACCUUUUGGGGGUAGAGCACUGGAUGGCGUAAAUAGGGAGAAAUCUCGUUAUGCCAAUCAAACUCCGAAUACCAAAAGUAACUGCCGAGCAGUUAGACUGUGGGGGCUAAGCUCCACUGGUCGAAAGGGAAACAGCCCAGAUCUCAAGUUAAGGUCCCUAAAUUUACAUUAAGUGCGCUUAAGGAUGUGAGAUUUCUCUGACAAUGAGGAUGUUGGCUUAGAAGCAGCCACCAUUUAAAGAAAGCGUAACAGCUCACUCAUUCAGAGGUUUUGCGCCGCAGAUUAUCGGGGCUAAAUGUAAUACCGAAACUGAGGGCUUCUUAUUCAUUCGUGAGUAAGGAGCGGUAGGAGAGCAUUCCAUUCUGCAAUGAAGGUUAGACGUAAGUCUAACUGAAGCGUAUGGAAGAGAGAAUGUUGGCACAAGUAACCGCAAUCCCGUUGAGAAUACGGGACGCCGAAAAACCAAGGUUUCCUUGGCGAUGUUAAUCAGCCAAGGGUUAGUCGGGCCUAAGCGGAUGGCGAAAGCCGGACGCGAUGGACACAUGGUUAAUAUUCCAUGACUUUCUUUUUAUGCGAUGGGGGGACGGAGUGUAGUAUGUCGAGCGUAUUAUUUGGAUUUACGUUUGUGGUGUGAGGAUGCUCUUUUGGAAAAUCCGGAGAGUAAAUUUUAGCACAGUAAAAAUUUUGCGGCCUCGGCCAAUGAAAAUUUGACAAAGCACACUUCCAAGAAAAGCCUCUAAGCUUCAGUAAAAAGAAAACCGUACCGCAAACCGACACAGGUGGUUAGGUCGAGAAGACCUAGGCGAACGAGUGAGUGUUCCUCAAGGAACUCGGCAAACAAGCGACCGUAACUUCGGAAUAAGGUCUGCCCCUGCUUUUUGCAGGGGCCGCAGCGAAAGUUUUCCGGGCAACUGUUUAUCAAAAACACAGCUCCCUGCGAACUCGCAAGAGGAUGUAUAGGGGGUGACGCCUGACCAAUGCCAGAAGGUUAAACAUAGAGGGUCUGCGAGACUUCGGUUUUGUAGGCUGAGCUAUGUAAGCCCUGGUGAAUGUCGGCCGUAACUAUAACGGUCCUAAGGUAGCGAAUUUCCUUGUCUGGUAAGUUCAGACGUGCACGAAUGGCGUAAUGACCUGGAAACUGUCUCGAGGAACAGCUCGGUGAAAAUGCAAUACCGGUGAAGACGCCGGUUACCUGCAGCUAGACGGAAAGACCCCGGGAGCUUUACUGUAGCUUCGUAUUGGGUUUGCGAUUUAAUUGCGUAGCAUAGGUGGGAGACUUUGAUAUUUGCCUUUUGGGGCAAGUGGAGUCGUCAGUGAAAUACCACUCUGUUGAAUUUCAGAUUCUAACCACGACGGAAAAAACGGCGUGGAACAGUGCGUGGCAGACAGUUUUAGUGGGGCGCUAUCCUCCUAAAGAGUAAC